rnacentral:rRNA from 1 species
AUUGAACGCUGGCGGCAUGCUUUACACAUGCAAGUCGAACGGUAACAGGCCUUCGGGUGCUGACGAGUGGCGAACGGGUGAGUAAUGCAUCGGAACGUACCCAGAGGUGGGGGAUAACGCAGCGAAAGCUGUGCUAAUACCGCAUGUGAUCUGAGGAUGAAAGCGGGGGACCGAGCAGCAAUGUUUGGCCUCGCGCCUUUGGAGCGGCCGAUGUCGGAGUAGCUAGUUGGUGGGUUAAAGGCCUACCAAGGCGACGAUCCGUAGCUGGUCUGAGAGGACGACCAGCCACACGGGGACUGAGACACGGCCCAGACUCCUACGGGAGGCAGCAGUGGGGAAUUUUGGACAAUGGGCGCAAGCCUGAUCCAGCAAUGCCGCGUGCGGGAAGAAGGCCUUCGGGUUGUAAACCGCUUUUGGCAGGAACGAAACGGUGUCCGCUAAUACCGGGCGCUAAUGACGGUACCUGCAGAAUAAGCACCGGCUAACUACGUG